UACGAAGGGGGCUAGCGUUGCUCGGAAUCACUGGGCGUAAAGGGUGCGUAGGCGGGUUUUUAAGUCAGGGGUGAAAUCCUGGAGCUCAACUCCAGAACUGCCUUUGAUACUGAAGAUCUUGAGUUCGGGAGAGGUGAGUGGAACUGCGAGUGUAGAGGUGAAAUUCGUAGAUAUUCGGAGGAACACCAGUGGCGAAGGCGGCUCACUGGUCCGGUACUGACGCUGAGGUGCGAAAGCGUGGGGAGCAAACAGG
rnacentral:rRNA from 1 species